AGCUAUGCGCAGCGGCGAUAUCGUACCCAAUGAGGAAGAUCCGAGGUGGGAUUAUUGCUAAUUGAAGAAAUGCAAGCCAACGGCAGUCCUACGUCAACCUUGCGGUUAUAUCAUAGGUAUAACCCAUCCAUGGUUUUUUUUAAUAAUA